rnacentral:lncRNA from 1 species
GCCCGCCGUCAUCCCGCCGUCCGCGCACGCCCAGGCCGCGCGAAUCAGCCCUGUUUCGCCCCUGUUCCGCACCGACCAGCCACCGUCCGGCCACCUCUGGCCACCGCCCAGCCCCGCCGGACUUCCCUGGCGUUCCCCUUGCUCUCCGCCGGCCUUCCCUCGCCGUUUUGGCCGCCGGAUCUGCUCCGACCAGCCAAGGGCAGAAACCCACGAAAUGGGUUUCCAGCUGGUUCGGGCCCGUUUUGGGCCGUUUCCCGGCCCCGGAUCCGCGAGUCGCUUUGGAGUUUGUCGUUCCUCGCGCCGCCGCCGUCGGAUUGAUCCGAUUUGUGCGCGAUUUGGUGAGUAAUCUCACUAAUCUUGGAUUAGUUGGCUAAUUAUGCUUAAGGUUGGUUUAGAUUUAAUUAAUUAUGUUUAGGUUGUUAGAUUAUAAUAAAUUAGCAAUUAUUAGUGAAUUGUGAUGCGAUUUAGAUAAAUUGAUUGCGCAAUUAGCAAGUAGACGUGGUCUACUAAUUAUUGGAAGUGCUUCGGGAAUUUUCCCGACCCUUAGUGGGCUCCAAUUAGGCUUUUCGGGCCUAAGUGGAUAUUUUUAGUAUUUAAUUAUUAAUUUUCCCGGAGACUUGGAAGGUCAUCCUGGAGAAUGCACGUGGCCUAGCUUUUAAAUAUCCCACAGUGGGGAUUGAUGUGUUUGACAUGUAAUCGACUAGGUCGAUGCUUUGAUUUGAUGUUGUGAAUUGAUUGACUGAAUGGAAUUGACCGUGAGUGGUCUUGUCGGAAUAUAAUCGACUAGGUUGAUUUGAUCGAUGCUUCGAUCGGUGAUAUGUUUGCUUGGGUGCCUAUUAUGAAUUGUACUGACUUGCAGGUGGGAUCAGAGGCCAAGGUAAGUCCUCUGCCCUGUGCGUGUUUAGGCAGCCUUUAGUAUAAUAGUUUACUAAUCGGGCUUAGUGGGGUAGAACUCGCUGAGACGUAGUCUCAUCCCAAUUUGGGGAAAACCAUUUCAGGACCCCGGUGAGAAGCUGAAGAGGAGGAGUCUAAGAAGGAGAACUCGGAGGUGAAACUUAAGGAGAAAGAUUUUUGGGAGAAGAUGAUAAUCCCGAGAAGGGCCUUGAGUACGGCCCGAAUGGCUAAGAGUUUCUGUCUCCUUUUGAGAUCUCCGUUUUGAUGUGAAUAGUUUUGAAGUGGUUUGUGUUUUGUAUAAAAGUUUGGUUAUAAAUUUCAAUAUGAAAAAUAUGGCCCUGCUUUUCUAUCCCAUCGUUUUAUUGUCUGGGGAUUUUAACUGCUUCCACAUGUGCUAAAUAAAAUGAAAGGGUCGGCGAUACAUUGUCCUGGGAUAUCGCAUUAUAAAAUCGACCAAGGUAGAAGGAUGUGUGCGUGCCCGAGGAUCGGGGCGUGACAUCCAGUUUAAGUGGUAUCAGAGCGAAGUUGAAGAUUGGAGUGAUAAGGAGCGUUGACCAUGGGAUAGUUAGUAGGAAAGGCCUUUAAAUUCAUGCUGGUGCAUGUCUGUGUUAGCUGAGUGCUAAAAUUGUUUGUUGUGUGUGGAUCGCUCAUCUUCUAAUCCAGUGUGGAUUUGGAAGACGGGUUGCAGUGUAAGACUGAACCAUGAGCGAGUAGGAGCUGAGAACUCCUAGUGAGAGGACAAUGUCCUCUGUGACUCGGGAUGAUGCACUGACAAAGGUCGGUACCCGAGGUGGUUGUGGCAGAGUGUUGGCUCUGGCCAGCUCGAGUGUAAGAGUACCACCGCAGGUUGGUACUAGUGUAGCAGCGUCGAAUGAUCCUAAGUUCGAUAGGAUCGUUCUGAUGCUAGUGUUCCUUGGGAACUGGAUGAGCCAGCAGGCUUAGGAUCGAGCCACCGUCAGUGUUGCAAUCGUCGUUGUCGCCUCACAUGCUGAGAUCCAGAGUGGAGAUGUGAUCCAGGAGCGAGUCAUUGCAUUUGAGCCAAGGUAUAGAUCCGGUCCAGGCAGAAAUGGAAAUCGGUCAGGGAAAAGAUCGAGGUCAAGAGUGGUCCUAGCAGACUGAUGAGGCAACCAGAAGAGUGCAUGCUUUCGCCUAAUAGAAGAUAGAAGAUGCACCAGAAAAGUGUCAGAAUUGUAGAAGGAAAUAUUGAUCAAUCCAGUGUCUGAGUAUGACGAGAACCUGUUGUGAUGAUGACUUAGCAUGGCCAUCAGGUGAAGGAUUGUCAGUGGAAGUCCAAGGUAGCAUAGGCAUCGCUACUGCGGCAGAACGCCACUAGGAUGGCGAAAGGAAUGAGAGUAUAAUCGAUCUUGCACCGAUUAGAGAAAGAAUGUAUUGGAGGUGAUUUUAUCAGAGUAUCGUAGCAGAGUUUUGUGCUGAGUUGGUAGAACUUAAAUUGUUGAAGUAAAAGUGAAAGCGAAGGGAAUUGCUAGCAAUAGUUGUGCUUGACUAGUUGCUGAGGUGUGAGUUUGACGCUACAUGAAUAGUGUGAGUUCAUAGAGCAUCUGGUGAUAAGGAAUCAUAUGGUUAUGGAAUAAUCCAGUUUAGUCUAUUAGUUGCGAAAAUGUCGAGAUUAUUAAGAGUCGAAAAGAAUCUUCAAUUUCAUUAAUCUCGUUGGCUAAAGACAAUCCGUUUGUUAGACGGAAGUUGCCAAGAUUGAUUUGACAGCUGUAGUGGAUGUGUCAGUUGAGAAAUAGAAUGAGAAGAAGGUGGCUGUGAUGCAGAAAAUUUCUAAGAUGGUUCCAAAGGAAUUGCUUGAGUUACCGCCAGAAAGAGAAAUUGAAAUUGUAAUUGAGCUAGCACCAGGGACAGAACCGAUUUCAAAGGUACCUUACCGAAUGGCGUUAUUUGAGUUGAAGGAAUUGAAGAUGCAGAUGUGAAGAUUAAUGAAUGAGGAAUUCAUGCAUAUCAGUGCAUCACUUUGGGGAAACAUUAGUUUUGUUUGUGAGAAGAAAAAAGAUGGUUUAUUGCGAGUGUGCAUCGACUAUUGUUAACUCAAGGACAAGUGUUCUUUGCCAAAGAUCCAUGAAUGGUGUGACUAGUUAUAAAGAGUAUCGAUGUUUUAAAAGUCGACUUGAGAUUAUGAAGUCGUUAGUUACGAACCAGGAUGGAGGUUGUACUAGAGAUAGCUGUUCGUACUUGAUAUGGUUUUUUACUAGAGUACUAUAAGAUCAUUUGGCCUGGUGAACACUCUAGUUGCUGUGAUGGAUUUGGCAAACAGAAUGUUCAAGGAAUAUCUGGAUCAGUUUAUGAUCGUGUUCAUUGAUGAUAUCUUGGUCUAUUCAAGAAGUGAUGAAGAGCAUGAGAAUUAUCUAAGAAUAGUACUCCAGACCUUAAGAACUCAUCAAGGGUAUGCUAAGUUUGGCAAAUGCGAGUUUUGGCCAACUCGUGUUGCGUUUUUAGGUCAUGUGAUUUCCGGAGAAGGAAUCUCCGUCGACCCGAGCAAAAUAGAAGCCGUGAUCAAUUGGCAGAGACUGACAUCAGUGUCAGAGAUCAGAAGUUUUCUGGGGUUAGCAGGUUACUACAGACGGUUUGUGGAAGGGUUCUCAUCGAUAGCGUCGCCUCUGACAAAGCUCCUGAAGAAAGAAGAAAAAUUUGUAUGGUCAGACAAGUGCGAGUGUAGUUUCCAAGAGCUAAAGGAAAAGCUGACUACCGCACCUGUACUGACGAUUCCAUCUGGUUCUGGAGGAUUCGGAAUCUAUAGUGAUGCGUCAUUCAGGGGAUUGGGUUGCGUGCUGAUGCAACAUGGCAGAGUUGUUGCAUACGCUUCCCGGCAGUUGAGACCUCAUGAAUUGAAUUACCCGACGCAUGACUUAGAACUCGCAGCCAUCAUAUUUGCAUUGAAGAUUUGGAGGCACUACUUGUGUGGGGAAAAGUUUCAGAUCUUCACGGACCAUCAGAGUCUCAAGUAUUUGUUCUCUCAGAGGGAGUUGAACAUGAGACAGCGUCAAUGGAUGGAAUUGUUGAAGGAUUAUGACUGUGAUAUUCUAUAUCACUCGGGAAAGGCGAAUAAGGUUGCCGAUGCAUUGAGUCGGAAGUCUUCAAUAGCGCGGAUCUUGGUUAAGGAGUGGAACUUAAUCGAGAGAGCUCGAGAUUCGGAAUUCAAAUUUGAGGUAGGCCACCUUUCAAGUCUUAUGGCCACCCUCAAAAUUGAGCCGGAUGUCCAGGUCAGAAUCAAGCAACUUCAACCGACAGAUCCAGACGUGCAGAAAAUUCUUCAAGAGGAUACCGAGAAAAGAAAAGCUGAUUUUCAAGUUUCUAAUGAUGGGACUCUAAGGUUCCAAGGAUGUUUGGUUGUACCUGACGAUGUUGAGCUUAUAGAAGAAAUUUUAUCUGAAGCACAUCGUAGCAAUUACAGCAUUCAUCCUGGAAGCACUAAAAUGUAUCGGAAUUUGCGUCAACACUACUAGUGGUCAGGUAUGAAGGCGGACAUCGCCAAGCAUGUGGCCAAGUGUUUCUUGUCAGCAAGUAAAAGCCCAGCAUUGCAAACCGGGAGGACUUCUGCAACCUCUUGCGAUCCUAGAAUGGAAGUGAGAGCAUAUCAUGAUGAACUUCGUGACUGGACUACCAAGGAGUCAGAAGGGGAAUGAUUCGAUUUGGGUAGUAGUCGACAGGCUGACAAAGUCGGCUCACUUCAUUGCAGUUCGAAAGGACCUGAGUCUGGAUAGACACGCAGACCUGUAUGUGCGUCAGGUGGUUCGUAUGCAUGGAGUGCCGGUUACGAUAACAUCUUAUAGAGACCCGAGGUUUACUGCUGCUUUUUGGAAAAGCUUACAGGUACGAAGCUUCAGUACAGUACAACAUAUCAUCCUCAGACGGAUGGUCAGUCUGAAAGGGCAAUUCAGACUCUUGAAGACAUGCUGAGAGCGUGUGUAAUAGACUUCAAAGGAAGUUUGGAGGAUCAGCUUCAUUUGGUGGAAUUCGCCUACAACAACAGUUAUCAGCAGAGCACCAAGAUGGCUCCAUUUGAAGCGUUGUAUGGUAGAGCAUGCAGAACUCUAGUAUGUUGGGAUGAAGUCGAAGAAAGGAAGAUAUCAGGCCUAGAGUUAGUUCAGCGAUCAGUAGGUGCUGUGGCAGUGAUCAGAGACAGAUUGAAGACAGCGCAGAGCAGGCAGAAAAGUUAUGCAGAAUAGCGUCGAAGGUCUUUGGAAUUCCAAGUUGGUGAUCACGUUUUUCUAAAAGUGUCACCAAUGAGGGGAACUUCGCGCUUUGGUAAAAAAGGCAGGUUGAGUCCGAGGUACGUAGGUUCGUUUGAGAUUCUUGAAAGAAUCGGAAACCUAACGUAUCGUCUUGCGUUGCAGCCAAGAUUGGCGCAAAUGCAUGACGUCUUUCAUGUGUCGAGGUUAAGGAAGUGCGAACCUGACCCGACCCACAUGCUCAAUUUCGAGGAAUUGGACGUGGAUGACCGUGUGUCAUACGUGGAAAGCCCGGCUCAAAUUGUCGAUCGCAAAGAGCAAGUUCUGCGUACAAAGACCAUUCCGUUGGUCAAAGUGGUCUGGCAACACCACGGUACUGAAGGAGCGACUUGGGAGACUGAAGAGUCGAUGAGACAAUUAUACCCCCGCCUUUUUGAACAAAGUGUAAUGGCUUAAAUUUCGAGGACGAAAUUUUUAUAAGAGGGGAAGAGUUGUGACAUCCUGAAAUUCGACCCCGUUUCGAUAAAGUGAAAUGGGCAUUUCGUCAACGUGCCUAUGGCUCUUUUUCUCUGAGCUGAUCACUCACGAGUUAACUGACCUAUUGGGUGAAACCGUUAAGGGAUGUAUCGGCCGUAAAAUCCCUAAAAGCUACCUAAUUGGUUGGAUUGAGCUAAAAUCACGUCUGAUCGAUUUUUAACCACGAAAUUGAACUCGAUUUCGGGAAUCGAAUUUUAAGCAUGUCAUAAUCCUUUUUUUUUAGGACAUUGUCUCAUCGCUCGUCAAUUUAUUGACGAGUCCGAAAUUUCAAGAAAGAAAUUAUCGGAAGAAAAAGAUUGAAGACCAAAAAGAAAAUAGAAAGGAAAAGGAAAAGAGAAAAGGAAAUUAGCAUAAAAGAAUUAUGUAUUUCCCUUUUCUUUUUCCUCUCUCUCCCUCUCUUUUCUUUUCUUUAUUUUCUUUUUCUCUCUCUCUCCUCUCCCCUUUUUCCCUCCCCCUCGUGCGAAUUGCCCCCACCGCUCACUUUCUCUCUCUCCUCUUUGACCGGUCAAUACAUAUCCUCUCCCCUCUCUUCUCUCUCCUCUCUCUUCUUCCUUCCCACACACGACAGAACCAACUUCUUCUUCUCCUUGUUUUGUCGCGUGCGAACCAGCAAGCCCGAACCAGAAGCAGCGAGCAUCACCGUCAGACGAAGACAGCAGCCGCUCGUCCCGCCGCCGCACCGCCGCUCACACGCCUGCGACAACUGCUCGCCCGUGCGCCCGCCGUCAUCCCGCCGUCCGCGCACGCCCAGGCCGCGCGAAUCAGCCCUGUUUCGCCCCUGUUCCGCACCGACCAGCCACCGUCCGGCCACCUCUGGCCACCGCCCAGCCUCGCCGGACUUCCCCGGCGUUCCCCUUACUCUCCGCCGGCCUUCCCUCGCCGUUUUGGCCGCCGGAUCUGCUCCGACCAGCCAAGGGCAGAAACCCACGAAAUGGGUUUCCAGCUGGUUCGGGCCCGUUUUGGGCCGUUUCCCGGCCCCGGAUCCGCGAGUCGCUUUGGAGUUUGUCGUUCCUCGCGUCGCCGCCGUCGGAUUGAUCCAAUUUGUGCGCGAUUUGGUGAGUAAUCUCACUAAUCUUGGAUUAGUUGGCUAAUUAUGCUUAAGGUUGGUUUAGAUUUAAUUAAUUAUGUUUAGGUUGUUAGAUUAUAAUAAAUUAGCAAUUAUUAGUGAAUUGUGAUGCGAUUUAGAUAAAUUGAUUGCGCAAUUAGCAAGUAGACGUGGUCUACUAAUUAUUGGAAGUGCUUCAGGAAUUUUCCCGACCCUUAGUGGGCUCCAAUUAGGCUUUUCGGGCCUAAGUGGAUAUUUUUAGUAUUUAAUUAUUAAUUUUCGGAAUUAAAUUAUUAUUUAUUUAUUUUCCGGAAAUUCAACUGAGAUGGCCUGGAACCGGAAAAUUAUGUUGAUGACCGUGGUGAAGUCCGUUUAUUUAAUCGGGCUUUAAUUUGAGCUAAAUGGGAUUUUUAAUAUUAAUUAUUUAAUAUUCGAAAUUAAUUAUUUAUUUAUUUAUUUUCCGGAAAUUCAACUGAGAUGGCCUGGAACCGGAAAAUUAUGCUGAUGACCGUGGUGAAGUCCGUUUAUUUAAUCGGGCUUUAUUUUGUACUAAAUUGAAUUUUUAAUAUUUAUUAAUUAUUUAUUUUUUGGAAAUUAAGAUUUUGAUGGCCGAUGACCGGAAUCUCGUGCUGAUCGUCGUGGCGCAGUCCGUUUAUUUAUUUGAGCUCUACGUUGUAUGGAAUUGAAUAAAUUGUGAUAUUUUAGGGAUUUACCCUAAAUUGAUUGGAAUCGAUUGAGAUUGAAUUAUCGAUUGGCGAAUGGCCAAGUAUGUUUAUUCAGCAUUUAUAAUGCUUUGUUGAGUUAAUUUAAUUAUUUGAUUGAGUAUUGAUUGAGAUUGAAUUGGCCAAGUGUGUUAUUUAGCAUUUAUAAUGCUUUAUUGAAUUGUUUAUGUUGGCUCUGUGAUCAGUGUAUCACCACGGCGAAAAAGACGCCCGAGAGCAUAUUGAAUUGUUUAUGUUGGCUCUGUGAUCAGUGUAUCACCAUGGCGAAAAAGACGCCCGAGAGCAUAUUGAAUUGUUUAUGUUGGCUCUGUGAUCAGUGUAUCACCAUGGCGAAAAAGACGCCCGAGAGCAUAUUGAAUUGUUUAUGUUGGCUCUGUGAUCAGUGUAUCACCAUGGCGAAAAAGACGCCCGAGAGCAUAGUAAAGUGUGCACUGUACGUCACCUUGGCGAAUCGACGCCCGAGAGCAUUGAUGGAGCUCUGUGACUAAGUGCAGGCAUCUAAAAGGGCACGUGGCUCGGUGACUUGAUGUAUCACCUUGGCGAAGAGGUCGCCUUAGAGAAUGCACGUGGGCCCAAGGUUCGAGGCACGUGACCCGGAGACUUGGAAGGUCAUCCUGGAGAAUGCACGUGGCCUAGCUUUUAAAUAUCCCACAGUGGGGAUUGAUGUGUUUGACAUGUAAUCGACUAGGUCGAUGCUUUGAUUUGAUGUUGUGAAUUGAUUGACUGAAUGGAAUUGACCGUGAGUGGUCUUGUCGGAAUAUAAUCGACUAGGUCGAUUUGAUCGAUGCUUCGAUCGGUGAUAUGUUUGCUUGGGUGCCUAUUAUGAAUUGUACUGACUUGCAGGUGGGAUCAGAGGCCAAGGUAAGUCCUCUGCCCUGUGCGUGUUUAGGCAGCCUUUAGUAUAAUAGUUUACUAAUCGGGCUUAGUGGGGUAGAACUCGCUGAGACGUAGUCUCAUCCCAGUUUGGGGAAAACCAUUUCAGGACCCCGGUGAGAAGCUGAAGAGGAGGAGUCUAAGAAGGAGAACUCGGAGGUGAAACUUAAGGAGAAAGAUUUUUGGGAGAAGAUGAUAAUCCCGAGAAGGGCCUUGAGUACGGCCCGGAUGGCUAAGAGUUUCUGUCUCCUUUUGAGAUCUCCGUUUUGAUGUGAAUAGUUUUGAAGUGGUUUGUGUUUUGUAUAAAAGUUUGGUUAUAAAUUUCAAUAUGAAAAAUAUGGCCCUGCUUUUCUAUCCCAUCGUUUUAUUGUCUGGGG